GUGCCAGCAGCCGCGGUAAUACGUAAGGACCGAGCGUUGUACGGAAUCAUUGGGCGUAAAGGGUACGUAGGCGGCUAGAAAGGUUAGAAGUCAAAGGCUAUAGCUCGACUAUAGUAAGCUUCUAAAACUAUUUAGCUUGAGAAAUGGAAGGGAAAGUGGAAUUCCUAGUGUAGCGGUGGAUGCGCAGAUAUUAGGAAGAUACCGGUGGCGAAGCGACUUUCUGGCCAUUAUCUGACG
rnacentral:rRNA from 1 species